GUGGCUGUAGCUCAGUUGGCAGAGCGCCGCUUUGUGGAAGCGGAAGUCGCGAGUUCAAGUCUCGUCAGCCACC
rnacentral:tRNA from 1 species